AUGGCUCAGGACGAACGCUGGCGGCGUGCCUAAUACAUGCAAGUCGAGCGAACAGAAGGGAGCUUGCUCCCGGAUGUUAGCGGCGGACGGGUGAGUAACACGUGGGUAACCUGCCUGUAAGACUGGGAUAACUCCGGGAAACCGGAGCUAAUACCGGAUAGUUCCUUGAACCGCAUGGUUCAAGGAUGAAAGACGGUUUCGGCUGUCACUUACAGAUGGACCCGCGGCGCAUUAGCUAGUUGGUGGGGUAAUGGCUCACCAAGGCGACGAUGCGUAGCCGACCUGAGAGGGUGAUCGGCCACACUGGGACUGAGACACGGCCCAGACUCCUACGGGAGGCAGCAGUAGGGAAUCUUCCGCAAUGGACGAAAGUCUGACGGAGCAACGCCGCGUGAGUGAUGAAGGUUUUCGGAUCGUAAAGCUCUGUUGUUAGGGAAGAACAAGUGCGAGAGUAACUGCUCGCACCUUGACGGUACCUAACCAGAAAGCCACGGCUAACUACGUGCCAGCAGCCGCGGUAAUACGUAGGUGGCAAGCGUUGUCCGGAAUUAUUGGGCGUAAAGGGCUCGCAGGCGGUUUCUUAAGUCUGAUGUGAAAGCCCCCGGCUCAACCGGGGAGGGUCAUUGGAAACUGGGAAACUUGAGUGCAGAAGAGGAGAGUGGAAUUCCACGUGUAGCGGUGAAAUGCGUAGAGAUGUGGAGGAACACCAGUGGCGAAGGCGACUCUCUGGUCUGUAACUGACGCUGAGGAGCGAAAGCGUGGGGAGCGAACAGGAUUAGAUACCCUGGUAGUCCACGCCGUAAACGAUGAGUGCUAAGUGUUAGGGGGUUUCCGCCCCUUAGUGCUGCAGCUAACG
rnacentral:rRNA from 1 species